UCGCGCCCCUGUUCUUCCCGAUUCUGAAGCAUCAACAUCAUCCUCCGCCAUGAUCCGGUUCAUCCUGCUGCAAAACCGGCAGGGGAAGACGCGGCUGGCCAAGUACUACGUCCCGCUCGAGGACUCGGAGAAGCACAAGGUCGAGUACGAGGUGCAUCGGCUCGUGGUCAACCGGGACCCCAAGUUCACCAACUUCGUCGAGUUCCGUACACACAAAGUCAUCUACAGGAGAUAUGCAGGUCUUUUUUUCUCAAUCUGCGUGGAUAUCACUGACAAUGAGUUGGCAUAUUUGGAAUGUAUCCAUUUGUUUGUCGAGAUAUUGGACCAUUUCUUCAGCAAUGUUUGUGAACUUGAUUUAGUAUUUAACUUCCACAAGGUCUACUUGAUAUUGGAUGAGUUUAUUCUUGCUGGAGAGCUUCAAGAAACAAGCAAAAGGUUUUGUUUGUUCUGGGUCAGCCUGUCACCGCCGCUCGGCCACCCACCCACGCCUCCUCCUGCUCCUUCCCCGCUGCUCAUCGCUCCCUUGCCGUCACCGCCGCCCGGCCACCCGCCCGUGCCUCCUCUUGCUCCUUCCCCAUCGCUCGUCGCUCCCUUGCCGUCACCUCCGCCCGCCCACCCGUCCGUGCCUCCUACUGCUCCAGCGGCUGCGCGGCCUGUCCAGACAGAGGCCCGCACAUCUGUUAAAACACUAUUUAGGGUGGUGCUGCGCUGCUGGAGCUCGCCGCUGGCGGGCCGCCACGGCCGCCGGAGCAUGCCUCUGGACGGCCCGCGCGGCCGCUAGAGAGGGAGAGGAUGAGCCGCGGCAGCCGAAGUUGGCCGCUACAGAGAGAGAGAGUGCCGGAGGUUAGGGAAGAAGACGACCGACAUCCAUUCAUGGAACAGACGAACAGGCAAUUAUAGAGAGGAUGGGCGAGCUUGAGAAGCUGGAAUGAGGAGAAAUUGGAUGGGAUAUAAUCAGGGACAAGCCUGUUCUGCCCUAUCAACGAGUCACUUAUAUUUUGUUUGUACAGUUCUUUGUACCUGUUGUGCUAUUAUCCUUGCUCCAUUUGAACCCUUCAGGACUGUGUGUCUGUAAGUACCCUUUCAUUGUUUCGUGAGGUUAAUGGUGCAUAUUUUGGGCCACUUUUCAUGUGAAGGUAUGAAUUUUAUGCAAA